rnacentral:lncRNA from 1 species
AAGUUUACUCUUUAACAUCACACCUUUAACUGUACCCUAUCUUGUAACUCUUCCUAAUAGAUAUAAAGUGAAAGUAACAUGCACAUGAUCUUUUGCAUUAACUCCAUCCAUCACCCUUCACAAUGUCUUGUUAGUUCAUUCUUUUAAACACAACUUGAUUUCUGUCCACAAGUUAGUGAAACAGUUGCAUUGCAUAGUUUUGUUCACUGCAAACCCUGCUUCCUCCACAUGAUACAGGACCCUUCUCUGAGGAAGCCUUUGGAUCUUGGUAAAGAGGAGGCUGGUCUAUACAAGCUUGCUUGGGUUACAACUUCCCCUUCUUCCUCUACUGGUUGUUCAUCUACUUUGGUAUGCUCUAUGUCUGACUCUUGUAAUCAUGGCAAUUCUUCCUCUACUGGUUGCCAUAAAGUUGUUGCUUUACCUUUCAAUGUACAUAGUUCCAUCUGUAAUAAUGUUCUUACAACUGACAUGAAUUACAUUUGGCAUUUGAGACUUGUCCUCUACUGGUUGCCAUAAAGUUGUUGCUUUACCUUACAAUGUAAAUAGUUCCAUCUGUAAUAAUGUUGUUACAACUGACAUUGCUCAUACUUCAUUUGCAAACAUGAAACAAAUUUCUGGAUUGUCUUUUCCAUUUGCUUCUAAGCAGCCUUUCCCUUGUUCUAUCUGUCCUAUGGCUAAACAGACUUGACUUCCCUUUCCUGAUAGCACAAUUAGUACUUCUAGACCUUUCCAAUUGAUUCAUGUGGACACUUGGGGCCCCUAUCACACUCAUACUUCUUAUGGUUCUAGAUAUUUUCUUACAAUAGUUGAUGAUUUCUCUAGGGCCACCUGGACACACUUACUNNNNNNNNNNNNNNNNNNNNNNNNNNNNNNNNNNNNNNNNNNNNNNNNNNNNNNNNNNNNNNNNNNNNNNNNNNNNNNNNNUGAUGACUUCUCUAGGGCAACCUGGACACACUUACUGGGGUCUAAAAGCAAUGCUUUCUGCCUGCUUAAAUAAUUUCUGUGUAUGGUUAAAACCCAGUUUAAUGUUGUGGUUCAAACUGUUACAAGUGACUAUGCUUUGGAAUUGGGGUCUAGCAUUGAUGGUGUAUCUUUCUUUAGUAACCAAGGGAUUAUUCGUCAAACAACCUGUCCUCAUACUCCUCAACAAAAUGAUGUUGUUGAAAGGAAACAUAGGACUCUUCUUGAGACAUGUAGAGAUUUACUCUUUCAAUCUGGCUUACCCAUCUCUUUCUGGGGGGACUGCUUACUAACUGCCACCUAUCUUCUUAACAGAAUACCAUCCAGACUCCUUCAUAAUAAAUCUCCCUAUGAAGUUUUGAAUGGAAAGGCACCAACCUACUCUCAUUUGAUAGCAUUUGGGUGCCUUGCCUAUGCUACUGUCCCAAUUUCUCAAAGGGACAAGUUGAAACCUAGAGCCAUUUCCUGUGUAUUCAUGGGUAUCCUUUUGCCAAAAAAGGGUUAUAAACUUUAUGAUCUCACUUCCAAAAAAUACUUUGUCUCCAGGAAUGUUAUAUUUCAUGAAACCUACUUUCCUUUUAAAACUGUAUCUUCUUCUGCUCUUCCUUUGUUCCUUCUCUUGAGCAUUCCUCCUCUGAUACAGACUUGUUAUACCUGUCUGUUCCUCUCCUCCUCCUCCUUCUGCCCCAACUUCCCCUUCUUCUAAUCCAG